UACGUAGGGUGCGAGCGUUGUCCGGAAUUACUGGGCGUAAAGAGCUCGUAGGUGGUUUGUCGCGUUGUCCCGUGAAAACUCACAGCUUAACUGUGGGCGUGCGGGCGAUACGGGCAGACUGGAGUACUGCAGGGGAGACUGGAAUUCCUGGUGUAGCGGUGGAAUGCGCAGAUAUCAGGAGGAACACCGGUGGCGAAGGCGGGUCUCUGGGCAGUAACUGACGCUGAGGAGCGAAAGCCAUGGGGAGCGAACAGG
rnacentral:rRNA from 1 species